rnacentral:rRNA from 1 species
GUCUUUUUGAUCAUAAUUUAAAGUCUGACCUGCCCAAUGAGGAUUUGAAUGGCCGCGGUAAUUUGACCGUGCAAAGGUAGCAUAAUCAUUAGUUUUUUAAUUGAAAGCUGGAAUGAACGGUUGGACGAGAAAAUGACUGUCUCAAUUUAAUUGGAAGUAGAAUUUUAUUUAUAAGUAAAAAAGCUUAUAUGAGUUUAAAAGACGAGAAGACCCUAUAGAAUUUUAUAGCGAUAUAUUUGUGUUGUGGUUAGGAUUUUAAGUUGCUAAAAUGUAAAGCUAUUUUGUUGGGGCGAUAGAAAAAUUAAUUGAACUUUUUUUAUGUGAGGUCAUUGAUUUAUGUGUGGUUGAUCCGUUUUUUACGAUUAUAAGAUAAAAUUACCUUAGGGAUAACAGCGUAAUUUUUUUUUAGAGUUCUUAUCGAAAAAAGAGUUUGCGACCUCGAUGUUGGAUUAAAAUUAACUUUUGGUGCAGGGGCUAAAAGGUUAGGUCUGUUCGACCUUUAAAAUUUUAC